rnacentral:rRNA from 1 species
GCGGCGUGCCUAAUACAUGCAAGUCGAACGUUCUUUCCUCCCGAGUGUUUGCACUCAAUUUGAAAGAGGAGUGGCGGACGGGUGAGUAACACGUGGGUAACCUACCCAUCAGAGGGGGAUAACACUUGGAAACAGGUGCUAAUACCGCAUAACAGUUUAUGCCGCAUGGCAUAAGAGUGAAAGGCGCUUUCGGGUGUCGCUGAUGGAUGGACCCGCGGUGCAUUAGCUAGUUGGUGAGGUAACGGCUCACCAAGGCCACGAUGCAUAGCCGACCUGAGAGGGUGAUCGGCCACACUGGGACUGAGACACGGCCCAGACUCCUACGGGAGGCAGCAGUAGGGAAUCUUCGGCAAUGGACGAAAGUCUGACCGAGCAACGCCGCGUGAGUGAAGAAGGUUUUCGGAUCGUAAAACUCUGUUGUUAGAGAAGAACAAGGACGUUAGUAACUGAACGUCCCCUGACGGUAUCUAACCAGAAAGCCACGGCUAACUACGUGCCAGCAGCCGCGGUAAUACGUAGGUGGCAAGCGUUGUCCGGAUUUAUUGGGCGUAAAGCGAGCGCAGGCGGUUUCUUAAGUCUGAUGUGAAAGCCCCCGGCUCAACCGGGGAGGGUCAUUGGAAACUGGGAGACUUGAGUGCAGAAGAGGAGAGUGGAAUUCCAUGUGUAGCGGUGAAAUGCGUAGAUAUAUGGAGGAACACCAGUGGCGAAGGCGGCUCUCUGGUCUGUAACUGACGCUGAGGCUCGAAAGCGUGGGGAGCAAACAGGAUGAGAUACCCUGGUAGUCCACGCCGUAAACGAUGAGUGCAAGGUGUUGGAGGGUUUCCGUCCUUCAGUGCUGCA